rnacentral:rRNA from 1 species
AUUGAACGCUGGCGGCAGGCCUAACACAUGCAAGUCGAGCGGAGCGGCUGACGGGUGAGUAAUGCCUAGGAAUCUGCCUGGUAGUGGGGGAUAACGUCCGGAAACGGGCGCUAAUACCGCAUACUAUUAGAUUAGCCUAGGUCGGAUUAGCUAGUUGGUGGGGUAAUGGCCUACCAAGGCGACGAUCCGUAACUGGUCUGAGAGGAUGAUCAGUCAAACCGGAACGGGGACACGGUCCAGACUCCUCCGGGAGGAAGCAGUGGGGAAUAUUGGACAAUGGGCGAAAGCCUGAUGCAGACAUGCCCCGUGUGUGAAGAAGGUCUUCGGAUUGUAAGGCACUUUAAGUUGGGAGGCGUUACCAACAGAAUAAGCACCGGCUAACUUCGUGCCAGCAGCCGCGGUAAUAC